GAAUUUGACUAUGAAGUCAAAGAGUUUGAAAAUCUGUAAAAGACACCGAUGAGUACAGGAAACCAACUUCCUUGAAAGGUUGCAGAAGUUUGUUUUCCGGCUAACAGAACAGGAGACGACCUGUCUUACCACACUCUCAUCUGCAUUGAACGUCUCCUUGUACUACAGGUCAAUCGUUGGCUCUUUGCCCACCCAUGAGUGCUCUAACCUUGAAAAGGGAAUAUGGGUGCAUGUGCGUAGCUACUGUGGCUGUGGUUGAGCCAUGGAUGGAAAGAAGAAUGAGACCCAACAGCCAGAU